UGUCAACAUCGAUGUUUUUCAAAAAUCACAAACAUCGAUGUUUUUCGAGGAAUCAUCGAUGUUUUUCCUUCUCUACUGCGCAUUGGAGAAGAAAUGUCAUAUUGCAAAUUUAUUAUGACUUGCUGGUGGCGUUGGCUGGCGUCGUGGAAGACAUAGAUAAAUAUUUGAAAUGAGCAAUUAUUGGACCAGCGGCGGAUGAAAACGUAGACGACAAUAAGUUUCUUUUGUUUUAUUUAAAAUAAUGCAAUUUUAUUAUAG